GUGAAUCCAAAUCCCAAGUAUUUGGAAUAUUACAUGAUGUAUUAUCCAAGUGGGAACUGAAUACUGUUGAUCACAUCUGAUAUGAUGAUGCAUGCCCCUU